GACGAACGCUGGCGGCGUGCUUAACACAUGCAAGUCGAACGGAAAGGCCCUGCUUUUGUGGGGUGCUCGAGUGGCGAACGGGUGAGUAACACGUGAGUAACCUGCCCUUGACUUUGGGAUAACUUCAGGAAACUGGGGCUAAUACCGGAUAGGAGCUCCUGCUGCAUGGUGGGGGUUGGAAAGUUUCGGCGGUUGGGGAUGGACUCGCGGCUUAUCAGCUUGUUGGUGGGGUAGUGGCUUACCAAGGCUUUGACGGGUAGCCGGCCUGAGAGGGUGACCGGCGACAUGGGGACUGAGAUACGGCGCAGACUCCUAUGGGAGGCAGCAGUGGGGAGUAUGACACAAUGGGCGGAAGCCUGAUGCAGCAACGCCGCGUGCGGGAUGACGGCCUUCGGGUUGUAAACCGCUUUCGCCUGUGACGAAGCGGGAGUGACGGUAAUGGGUAAAGAAGCACCGGCUAACUACGUG
rnacentral:rRNA from 1 species